rnacentral:lncRNA from 1 species
GCAGACCAGUACUGGAGUUCGUGGUGCUGGAAGACCGCCGCCCGACUCUGGGCCCCGGGUAGGAAACAACAAUUUCGGACCUCCUGGGGUCUAUGCUAGGUAUGAGGUGUAUCUUUGCCCUCCAUCAAGUAGCAAAGAUGGACAUGUAAACAAAUUUCGACACUGUGAUGACUGCCACAAAAAGCAGCAUUAUGAGGUUGAAUGUAAAAGGAUAACCUUAGCGGCGGCGGGGGCCGGAGGAUGAAGGAAGGCUUCCUGAGAGUCUACAAAUAAACAUUUUAUAAAGAUGAUCCUUCAAUACAUAUUCUACAGCCCAGUUAAAAUGUGAGAGGCCAUGAUCUACAGACAGCCAUUUAUAAAGGUGGAUCAGGGCCGGACACGGUGGCUCAACGUCUGUAAUCCCGGCACUGUGGGAGGCCAAAGCGGGAGGAUCGCUUGAGCCCAGGAGUUCGAGACCAACCUGGCCAACAUGGUGAGACCCCAUCUUUACAAAAAAAUAUAUAUAUCCAGGCAUAGUGGUGUGCACCUGUGGUCCUGUGGUCCCAGCUACUCAGGAAGCUGAGGCAGUUGAGGCUGCAGUGAGCCACGUUCUGGCCACUACACUCCAGCCUGGGCAUCAAAGUGACAAGACCAAAAAAAAAAAAAAAUGUGGAUUGGAAGGAGGCAAGAAAGAAGUCAGGAAAAGGGUGGAAUGUAAGUCCCUAAGGACACAAUCUUACUCACAAUUGUAUCUCCAACAUUUGGCAUAAUGCCUAAUACGUAAGUAUUUUAUGAAUUAAUUAAACGAGAACACAAGCCUAAAUUAAGGCAAUGGCAAUGGAGAAGAAGAAACCAACUUGAGAAAUAUUUAAAGGUCAUUGUCAAUGGAACUUAGUGACUUUAAUGGUUAAUUUUAUCUAUCAACUUGGCUAGGCGAUGCUACCCAUGUUACUCAGUUUUUGGUCAAACACUAGUCUAGUUGUUGCUAUGAAUUGUAUUUGUUAGAUGUGAUUAACAUUUAAAUCAGCAGACUUUGAUUAAAGUACAUUACCCUCUAUAAUGAGGGUGGGCCGCAUCCGGUCAGUUCAAAUUAAAACGAGACCCUUAAGAAGAAGCAAUUCAGCCUCCAGACUGCAGCGUCAAAUCUCCCUGGGUCUCCAGGCUGUUUGUCUGCCCUGCAGAUUUCAGACUUGCCAGCUCCCAGAAUAAUGUGAGCCAAUUCCUUAAAAUAAAUCUCUUUCUGCAUAUACACAUCCUAUUGAUUCUGUUUCUCUGGAGAACCCGUACUAAUAUAGUGUCUGACUAGAUAUGAAGGAGGAGGGGAAGGGAGAAAUAGAUAGACGAUGCCUUUGGAUAUUGAGUGACACUUAUCUAGUUGCUUAAGUCAAAAACCUGAAAACUGGUUAGGCACGCCUAUUACGGGCUCACGCCUGUAAUCCCAGCACUUAGGGAGGCUGAGGCAGGCAGAUCAUUUGAAGUAAUUCAAGACCAGCCUGGCCAACAUGAUGAAACCCCAAGACCACUAAAAAUACAAAAAUUAGCCGGGCGUGGUGGCACAUGCCUGUAACCCCAGCUCCUCAGGAGGCUAAAGCAGGAAAAUUGCUUGAACCCAGGAAACAGAGGUUGCAGUGAGCCGAGAUUGUGCUACUCCACUCCAGCCUGGGAGAGACUCCAUCUGAAAACAAACAACAAAAAAAAAUGCUGGGCACAGUGGCUCACGCCUGUAAUCCCAGCACUUUAGGAGGCUGAGGCGGGCGGAUCACCUGAGGUCAGGAGUUCAAGACCAGCCUGGCCAAUGUGGCAAACCCCAUCUCUACUAAAAAUAAAAAAAAAAUUAGCUGGGCAUGUUGGCGGGCACCGUAAUACCAGCUACUCGGGAAGAUGAGGCAGGAGAAUCACUUGAACCGGGAGGCAGAAGUUGCAGUGAGCUAAGAUCGCGCCAUUGCACUUUAGCCUGGGCGACGAGCGAAACUCCCUCUCAAAAAAAAAGAAGAAGGCUGGGCGCGGUGGCUCAUGCCUGUAAUCCCAGCACUUUGGGAGGCCGAGGUGGGUGGAUCACUUGAGGUCAGUAGUUCGAGACUAGCCUGGACAUGGUGAAACCUGUCUCUACUAAAAAUACAAAAAUUAGCCAGGUAUAGUGGCUCAUGCCUAUAAUUCCAGCUACUUGGGAGGUUGAGGCAGGACAAUGGUUUGAACCCAGGAGGCAGAGGUUGUAGUGAGCUGAGAUUGUGCCACUGCACUCCAGCCUGGAUGACACUCUAUCAAAAAAAAAAAAAAGAAAAGAAAAAAAAAAAAAAACUGGGGCAUGUGGGUUGAAGGUGCUAUGGAAAAAUUCAUGGGCUAUGUGUAUGCAGCAUUGUUUUCAAAGCAGAAAUUGAGAAUUUAUUUAUAGUGGUGUGCAUACUGCUUUUUCAAAUGAGGAAACAGGAAAACAAGGUUCUAGACCUAUGUAUUAGGGACUUCCUUUAGUCUGUAAAACUUGUGCCAGGCGUGGUGGCUCACACCUGUAAUCCCAGCACUUUGGGUGGCUGAGGCAGGUGGAUCACCUGAAGUCAGGAGUUCCAAGACCAGGCUGGCCAACCUGGUGAUACCCCCGUCUCUACUAAAAAUACAAAAAAAUAGCCGGAUGUGGUGGUGCACUCCUGUAAUCCCAGCUAUUUGGAAGGCUGAGGCAGGAGAAUCGCUUGAACCCAGGAGGCAGAGGUUGCAGUGAGCCAAGAUCAUGCCACUGCACCCAGCCUGGGCAACAGAGCGAGUCUCUGUCUCAAAACAAACACACAAAAAAACUUGUGAUUCACAGGUUAGUCUCUAGGGGAGCUCUAUAAUCACAAAGACAGUGACAGUAUUCCCAUUUUACAGAUGAGCAGACUAGGUAAUCAAUGUUUCUUAACAAAUUAACAUUAAAACUUCUGUCAGGAAGUUCCAGGCCAGGCACAGUGGCUCACAUCUAAAAUGCCGGCACUUAGGAAGGCUGAGGCAGGAGGAUCACUUGAGCUCAUUUCAAGACCAGCCUGGGCAACAUGGCAAGACUCCAUCUCUACAAAAAAUAAAAAAUUAGCUGGGCAUGGUGGCACACACCUGUAGUUCCUGCUACUCAGGGGGCUGAAGUGGGAGGGCCACUUGAGCCUGGGAGGUUGAGGUUGCAGUGAGCCAUGAUCGUGCCACUGCACUCCAGCCUGGAUGACAGAGCCAGCCCGUCUCAAAAAAAGUUUCCUCAUGGCUGGGUGCAGUGGCUUAUGCCUGUCAUCCGAGCACUUUGGGAGGCAGAGACGGGUGGAUCACCUGAACUCAGGAGUUCCACCAGCUACUCAGGAGGCUGAGGCAGGAGAAUCACUUGAACCCAGGAGGUGGAGGUUGCAGUGAGCUGAGAUCCCGCCACUGCACUCCAGACUAAGUAACAGAGUGAGACUUCAUGUCAAAAAAAAAAAAAAAGUUUCAUCAUUGAAGCUAUAGAAGAGUAAAUAAACAACACAAAUGAAGCAGAGCUACUUAUAGGUUCUUUUUUUUGAGAUGACAUUUUGCUCUCGUUGCCCAGGCUGGCGCAAUCUCUGCUCACGGCAACCUCUGCCUCCCAGGUUCCAGUGAUUCUCCUGCCUCAGCCUCCUGAGCAGCUGGGAUUACAAGUGUGUGCCACCAUGCCCAGAUAAUUUUUUGUAGUUUUAGUAGAGAUGGGUUUCAUCGUGUUGGCCAGGCUGGUCUCGAACUCCUAACCUCAGGUGAUCCCCCCGCCUCAGCCUCCCAAAGUGCAGGGAUUACAGGUGUGAGCCAUUGUGCCUGGCCUUAGAGUUCUUUUUUUUUUUUUUUUUUUUUUUUUUUGAGAUGGACUCUCGCUCUGUUACCCAGGCUGGAGUGCAGUGGCACAAUCUCGGCUCACUGCAAGAUCCGCCUCCUGGGUUCACGCCAUUCUCCUGCCUCAGCCUCCCGAGUAGCUGGGGCUACAGGUGCCCGCCACCGCGCCCGGCUAAUUUUUUUUGUAUUUUUAGUAGAGACGGGGUUUCACCGUGGUCUUGAUCUCCUGACCUCGUGAUCCGCCCGCCUCGGCCUUCCAAAGUGCUAGGAUUACAGGUGUGAGCCAUGCGCCCGGCCCCUUUAUAGCUUCUUUUUAAGAGGAAGUACCUUAAGCAUCAGACUCAAAAUCUUAUAAAGAUGGACUAGGUUAAGGCUGAAGAGCAGAUUGUUUUAAUUGGAAAUAGGGGCAGGUCAAAACUCCUAUUUAUAAAAGUGCAAAAUUAUGGAGUCAUUGCAUGUUUUUUCUAAUGAUUUCUUGGGAAAAAGAGUACAUGUAAAAACAAAUUUUGGCAGAGCACAGUGGCUCAUGCCUGUAAUCCCAGAACUUUGGGAGGCCAAGGCAGGCGGGUGGAUCACUUGAGGUCAGGAGUUUGAGCCCAGCCUGGCCAACAUGGUGAAACCCUGUCUCUACUAAAAAUACAAAAAUUGGCUGAGCAUCAUGGUGCACGCCUGUAGUCCCAGCUACUAGGGAGGCUGAGGCGGGAGAAUCGCUGGAACCCGGGAGGCAGAGGUUGCAGGGAGCUGAGAUCCCACCACUGCACUCCAGCCUGGACAACAGAGCAAGAUUACAUCUCAAUAAUUAAAUAAAUAAAGUUUUUGAUUUAUAUGAUUUGAUUAAGUUAAAUGAAAUUUUUUAUUUUAAACCAAAACGAAAAACCAAAACCCUACCCCCAUGAGUCUUAAGACACGAAACUGUCUCCAUUCAACUUCCAUAUAUUUUUCCAUACUUACAGGGUACCAUAAAAUCCUACAGUACCUUCCUAUUCCUGUCUGGCCAGCGGAAAAAACAUGCCUUCCUCAGGGAGUGCCUAAAAUCCACAUGAUUAGUAAGCUCUCAGUAAGCCACACAAGCCAUACUCUCCCCAGAACCUUAACAAUCUUCUGACCUGACUGUCCACUAUGAUGCUAUCACCCAGUGCAUUAACUUAGAGAAAGGGAAUACUUUACAUGGAGAGUUAUAUAACUGCUAACUGGCCUCCCACCCACCCACUCUAUUUCCAAAGCGAUCUUUUAAAAUACGCACCUGAUCAUUUACUCCCCUGAGCCUCCUCUCCCCACAGCCAAGCCUAGCUUUAGCCCUUUAACCAAUAAAAGGAUCUUGACUUUCUCUACUGGUAGAUUUUAAGCUUAAGAUUUUAAGGCAUUGUCUGUUUUGCCACCUUCUACCAUUCACAGAGCCUGGCAUGGUGCCUAACACGUAGUGGUUUUUAUUUUUUAUUUUUUGAGAUAGAGUCUCUGUCACCGAGGCUGGAGUGCAGUGGCACAAUCUCGGUUCACUGCAACCUCUGCCUCUCUGGUUCAAGCGAUUCUCCUGCCUCAGCCUUCCAAGUAGCUGGGACUACAGGCGUGCACUACGAUACCUGGCUAAUUUUUGUAUUUUUAGAAGAGACGGGGGUUUCACCAUGUUGUCCAGGCUGGUCUCAACUCCUGACCUCAAUUAUCUGCCCACUUCAGCCUCCCAAAGUGCUGGAAUAAUAGGCGUGAGCCACUGCACCCGGCCUAACAGGUCUUUUAAAAAAUGCAACCCACUGCUGUCUUUCUUAAAAACCCUCCCUGACAUCUGUGGUCCUGUGGUAUUACAAUAUCCUGAUCCUACUGCACAUUCCUGCUUUCUGGCUUCAGACAUCUCUCAAAACCUGGUAUAUAGUUCUCAUCCCUCCUUCAGAAAACUACCUGCUUUAACAUCUCCAUCCUCAUGUUACUUGUAUAUUGCUUACGGCUUAUAACAUGUUUUGACAUUUCAUUUGAUCCUUAUAAUUCUGAAAGGUAGGUAACAACCCUCUUGCUUAUUAAGUGGCUGGGUUUUCAGGGACUUGAACUCAAAUUUGAUUCUGAACUUCAUGCUUUCAUUGACCAUGCUCUCAAGUCAACUAUCUGCCUGAAUAGAAUGUUAUAGUGCAAUCACUUAUUUCUCAAGGAUUAUUGCAGUGGCUUUCAAAACUGUGUGCGCCUCAAACUCCUUUGGAGCUUAGGGAAAAUAGCUAUCACAAAGUCUCAUCACAGAAACUAGUGUGGGACCAGAGUGCUACUAUGCUAUAGUGAUACUGGCUCAUUAUUUUAGCCCAUACAUCGAGUAUAUUCCUCAUCUUAGCGCACUAUAAUCUGGUUCACUCUUGCCAUCUUCUCUCUCCUUUUCAAAACCAACCCCUUUUAAUUCUGGUUGGUAUCUUCAAGUGUUUUUCACCUCUGCUCACAGUAGUUCCAGCAAUAAAGAAUGCCCUUCCAAAAUCAUUACUGUAACGGUAAUUAAGAGACUUACAUUCUAGUCCUAGCUCUGUGAUCUUGGGAAAACACUAAAAUAGAGUACACCUAGAACUUGAAAUUUCCUUCUAGUUUAAAAUGAAUUAUUACCUAUAGGUCUAGUUUGUACCACUGUAUAUUCCUUACAUUUUAUAAGAACAUUUUGUUGGCUAAAUAGACUUACAAACUUGAGAAAGCUUUGUAUUCAUGAACAAACAUAAUCAUACAAAAUGCCAAGGCACUAGGAAACAGAAUAUUAUGGUGAUAACUAAAUUCAAGUCUCCCAGAGGAACUGCAUAGUCUUGGGUCACAGCUUUCUCCAAGUCUCAAUUUCCUUUAUGUUUUUCAACAUCAAAAGGGAAAGUAAUGUGAAAAAAAGAUAUGCUUCUAAACAAAAAAAAGCACUGUACAAAUGUUGUUAGAAAUUAUAUUGUUUCUGAUGGCUGAUAAAAUAUCAUCAAAGAGAAGUGCUUCCAUAAAAGUUUUAUUUAUCCCCACAACAACCCUGUGAGGUAGGGUGAUCAGGGCAUUUGAAGAUGAGAAAACUAAAUCUACAUUACUUGUUCACGGCUAUACUGCAUAGUAAAUAAGAAGAAAUUAAAUUGAGAUUUUAAAAUGUCCAUGACUUUAAUAUUGAUUCACGUGGAAACAAGGCAGAGAGAAUAUUAACUCCCCCCUACCUUAAUGCCAAAAGGACACUGCCUUGAAAAAUCCCAUUUCAAAAGAUGAAAGUAGUAUUUCAUUGCUUAUUUCUACAAAGAUUUAUAAAAUAAAAAAAUAGUGAAAUAUUUUACAGAUAAUAUAUAUAAUGGUCUCAUUCAGGGACAUGUCCUUUAGCUAUGUAUAUGGUCAACUAUUCCAAGUCCUAGAAAUGCAAACCCUUAAAAAAUAUGAAAGACAAAAAUGAUAAUGAGCAGUAGCCUUAAUCUUCUUUAUUAUUCCUCCAUGUAUCUUGAAUAAGCUCUGUGAAAUCUGGUCCCAGUUUAAAAAAAAAAAAACUCUACCACAAAGAGAUGUCUGGUGAACUUUAAUUUUGUUGCCUACUCUCAAACCAGUGUCACAUUUAGCUAAAACAUUGAUUACCCAAUACUGGCUAUUAGAAUCACCAGGAGAGCUUUAAAGAAAAAACAAAACAAAACAAAACAAAACCAACCAAACAAAAAAAAAAAGCCAGAACUCUCAGGCCCCUCUCGAGAUCCAGCGAGACAAUUUUCCAGGGGUAGGCUCCAGGAAUCUAUUUUAAAAGCUCCUCAGAGUAAUUCUAAUGGUCAGGUUUCGGGAUCAACUGAUGUAUCUUAAAAUACUAAUAUCAAAAGCAUAAACUAGUAUAAACUUGUCGCUCUCUCCCCCGCCGCCCCACCCUUUUUUAAAAAAGAUCUCAAAUCAUGUUAUAUCCCCAGAACUCUUGCCUCUGGGCAAGUAAUUUCAAUUCAAGAUACAGAGAAACAUUUUAUAAAAAUGUACCCUAGUUAGUGAGACUUGGAUUCCAAUAAUAACUUAAGUAGCAUUUAAAUAUAAGAUACUGAGUUUUGUGGUUCAUAUUCUGAAAAUUCUUAAAUGUAUUUUAUACAUGUUUGUCGUAGGCUUUCAACUCAGGGGAAGACAUGAGAAGUAAUGACAUCAGCACUAAAAAAAUACUAUACUCAAUUAUAGCUCAUGAGAGGAAUAAGAAAGUCAAUGAAUGACAACCCUAAGGCCUUUUGGCCCAUACAUUUUUGUUCCCAGUCCACUCUUCCCCUAUAAGGGGAAAUAAAAUAAACAUUCUUUACUAGUUGCUUGGCAUAGUUAUUCGGUGGGUAACUAUUAACUAAGUUAAUUUAGAUACACAAGAUUAAAAGAUAACAAAUAAAUACCUAGGAAGACAAAGAGAAGUCAGGUCAGAAAACCUUAACUAGCUAAUGAUGUAGUAUAUAACACCAUCAUAUUAGUACAAUUAAAU